GUCACUGCUAUUAAUUCUACAAAAGCUUGUCUGAAAGAUAAAACAUACACCCUGCAGCUGCAGCUCACCAUCACCUCUGCUUGUUAUGCUUACCUCCUCCUCCUCCUCAUGAGUGCCGUCUACUUUGCCAUCAUCGCCUUCUGUCUGUUUAGGAGAACAGUAGUCUGUGGCAAUGGAAAGAGUUCAUAACAGAUGGUGGAAACAAGAAGGCAACUUU